AGAAUCAACGCUGGCGGCGUGCCUAACACAUGCAAGUCGAACGAGAAAGUGGAGCAAUCCAUGAGUAAAGUGGCGACCGGGUGAGUAACACGUGACUAACCUACCUUCGAGUGGGGGAUAACAUCGGGAAACCGAUGCUAAUACCGCAUAACAUCGCAAGAUCAAAGCAGUAAUGCGCUUGAAGAGGGGGUCGCGGCUGAUUAGCUAGUUGGCGGGGUAACGGCCCACCAAGGCGAAGAUCGGUAGCCGGCCUGAGAGGGGCGCGACGGACCGACGACCUGGAACUGAAACACGGUCCAGACUCCUACGGGAGGCAGCAGUGGGGAAUUUUGCGCAAUGGGGGAAACCCUGACGCAGCAACGCCGCGUGGAGGAUGAAGCCCCUUGGGGCGUAAACUCCUUUCGACCAAGACGAUAAUGACGGUACUGGUGGAAGAAGCACCGGCUAACUCUGUGCCAGCAGCCGC
rnacentral:rRNA from 1 species